UGAAGAACGUCCCCUGUGGGGAAGAAUGUCUCAGCUGUUUAGUAAUAGAAUAUGGAACUUUUACACACAAUGAGCUGUGCUGCUUAGAGCCAAAUGACAGUUCCACUAGGUGAAGGAGGGAAGUGAGAAUUUGUCUUCUUUCCUGAUCCACUGAAAUGGCCAGGGGGCAUUUGGAAAAAUUGGAGACAUCAGAGAUUGUAAUGACUGGGGAACUGCUACUGGGAAGAGGCCAAGGACACUGUUUACCAUCCCAUAACCCACAGGGAAGCACUUUCUCCUUAACCUCUACUACGAGGAAUCAUCCAGCCCAGAAAGUCAGUAAUGCUGAGGAUGAGAGGCCUCCCUUUACCAGCUGAUCCUAACAGUUUCUACAUCUCUUCUAAGAUAAGAGGUCCAGAAAAGAAAUAAAUUAAUCAAAAUUUAAAGGAAUAGAAGAACACUGAAGUGACUUCUCCAUAUCUUUAGACCAAUAUCUGGAGAAAGGUGGUUUACUUGAUUGGUCGUCAGACCUAACCGCAAAUCACAGUCAUUUCAAGCUGAUUUUUCUCAUCCCCCAAUGGAUAUUCAUCAGCCAACCCCAGUGAUUCUGAUUCUCUCCAGGAAUCUGGAUAUUAUAAAACCUUUUUUAAGACAUUCUGAUUUUCAGCCUCUCUUGGAAAUCACUGACCAAGGAACUUGCCCAUCUUAUAUGUUUUUAAUAGACAAACCAGAUAUUUAACAAAGUGGUCAAAUAGAUUGCUUUGCUAAGAACUUUAACAUUGUUGAUCUGUAGGAUUUCAAUAUUUUUCCAUAGCCACAUACUAAACCUUCAAUUCAAUACUGUAGAGAAUUCCUUGGUAUUGUUAGGUUUGUGAAGACAAAUUGAAAUCCUAGUUCUCUCUCUUUUGUGAAUGUUUCCCUUUUGAAAGCAGCAGUUUCCCAUGACUGAUUCUGCCACACUACUUACAUAGUGAAAUACAGAAAGCUAAGCACUGUUACCUACCUCUCUUUCUCCACCCAUCUUUGGUCGGUAAACUAAUGACUAUGGAAUCUUGUUUCUUUUGAUUGUACUCUGAAAUGUGCCAGCAACAAUGGGCAUGAUUAAAUGCAUCUAAUGGAUUUAAGCAUCCCCCAAAGAAAUGAAAUUGGAUAAAAUUCUCAUGCUAGUCUUCCUUUUCUAACUGGAAAUUUAUUCUUCUUGGGUAUGGAAGACAAAUGCAAGUAAAAUUCUGUAGCUGACAUUAUGUUGGUUUAUUGUUGUGGAUCCUUUCAUGUCAGAGUGACAUUUGCUAAUUACAGGAUACAAGUGAUUUUGACCUCACGGUAUACUGGAGAAGUAAAGCUAAUGGGUAUGCAGUGUCCGUGAAACUAAGUUCAUUUCCAAUCUUUAAAGCUCAAGUUUUCUGAAUUGUACAUUGGCACAGCAGUGUAAGGAUUUGAGGUUUAUAAAGCUGGGUGAAAAAUUCAUAUUAUUGUGAAAUGGAAAGAAAUAAAGAUUUUUCUUAAAUUACCGAGACACUUUAUUUGAAGCCAUGUUAUUUUCAGUUCUAAAGCUAUACCUAUAAAUCCAGAACAUGGCCAUGAAUCUAGAUAUAAUGAGGUAGGUGUUUAAUUGUAGUAAGUCAGUUUCUAUGGGUUUCCAGCUAAUCAGAAAUGUAAAUGUUGCCACCAGAUAGCCUGCUUUUCUGUGAAUUAAUUUUCUUUUGCUAUGAGUACUGCUGGAAUCAGAAACUCUCCUGCUUCUGUCUAAUAUAUACAAGCACCUUCAUUCCUCGUUUGGAGCCAGUGAAUAAAAAACAGUCAAAUGAUUCCUCACUCUAGUCUUAGCAAUGGGACAAGAGAACUAGUUUUUUUCCUCUUAAUCCUGUCUUCCUCUUUAAUAUUCCAUCGCUCACCUCAAGGAAAUCUCAACAGGAUGCUUUGGGACAAAAAUAAUAGCUUCCAAAGAAAAUUCAACUGGCUCCGUCCCACUGCUGCUUGAUAUGUUAAAACAUGAAACUCACGUACUGCUGCACAAUUAAUGAAAAGUACAGCAGAACUACUGACAGAAAAUAUGAAUAAAUGGAUGAAAUAACACAAGAUAUCCCUUCAUAGAGUACAUACUAAUUAACUGUUUGGAGGAGAGUAUUAGAAGUGACAGGCUAAUCGUGGCAAAAAUAAAGCUCCUGAGCUACUAUUUCAAAUUUUGAGAGCCAAUAAAAAAUGGGAUACAAUAAGAUACAAAUAACCAAAUAAUACCAGAGGAAAGACGUCAUAAAAUGUAGUGACAAAGUGCUGGAGGAGUUCAGGAAUUCGAAAGUCCCCUUCCUACCUCUGCCCAUUUAGACACGUCCCCAAAAAAGUGGCACUGCUGAUGUUCCAGAGGUAUAGAAACCACGCAGCUAUGUGGAGUCAGGUGGGAAAGUCACUUCAAGCUAACAGCAUGAUCAAAGGCAGGAAAUGAAUAAAGUGGAGAGAAUGUGUAAAAAAUAAUAAAUAGUAAUGGUUUUUCUGUUUUAAUUUUGAUUUUUGGCCUUAAAGAAUGUGGCAGGAGAAAUAUGUGAGCUUAGAUUAUGUUUUGGGAAAAAUAGAUCACUGAGGUAUUUGAAGCACAGAUUAAGAACUGCGGGGGCAACAGAGAGCAAUUUAGAAAAUUUUGAAUACAAAGAAGUGAUGUAAUUUGAAUUUUAGAAUGAUUAAUCUAGCCGAGUAUAGGUGGAGAUGGAGAUGAGAAUU